AACGAACGCUGGCGGCGUGCCUAACACAUGCAAGUCGAACGUGAUUGGAAGCUUGCUUCCAUGAAAGUGGCGCACGGGUGAGUAACGCGUAGAUAAUCUACCUGAUGGAUCGGGAUAACACUUCGAAAGGGGUGCUAAUACCGGAUAAGCCCACGGAGUCCUUGGACACUGCGGGAAAAGGGGGGGAUCUUCGGACCUUCCGUCAUCAGAUGGGUCUGCGUACCAUUAGCUAGUUGGUAGGGUAAAGGCCUAACAAGGCGACGAUGGUUAGCUGGUCUGAGAGGAUGAUCAGCCACACUGGAACUGAGACACGGUCCAGACUCCUACGGGAGGCAGCAGUGGGGAAUUUUGCGCAAUGGGGGAAACCCUGACGCAGCAACGCCGCGUGAGUGAUGAAGGCCCUUGGGUCGUAAAGCUCUGACAGAGGGAAAGAAAUGCGGGGAGGCUAAUAUCCUUUCUGCUUGACGGUACCCUCAAAGGAAGCACCGGCUAACUCCGUGCCAGCCGCCGCGGUAA
rnacentral:rRNA from 1 species